rnacentral:lncRNA from 1 species
AUUAUUACAGCUGUUUUUCUCCAAAAUAUAGAAGAUGUCCUUCAUUCAGUGACAAUGUUAUUGAGUUCUAAUGACCAGGAACAGAAACCUCCAGUAUUACCUAAGGGUUCAUUUGGCCCUUUAGUUGAUUCGUUUAAAAAAACUGAAUCUUGGCGUCACAAAAGACUUUCAUUCUUGACACAGACCAUGUCAUAUAAUCAAGUUUCUCAAAUGCUUCCAGAUGUUACUGAGAAUAAAUACUAUGCAG